CACGUAGGGUGCGAGCGUUGUCCGGAAUUAUUGGGCGUAAAGAGCUCGUAGGCGGUGUGUCGCGUCGGCCGUGAAAACCUGCAGCUUAACUGUGGGCGUGCGGUCGAUACGGGCAUCACUGGAGUUCGGCAGGGGAGACUGGAAUUCCUGGUGUAACGGUGAAAUGCGCAGAUAUCAGGAGGAACACCGGUGGCGAAGGCGGGUCUCUGGGCCGAUACUGACGCUGAGGUGCGAAAGCGUGGGGAGCAAACAGG
rnacentral:rRNA from 1 species